rnacentral:rRNA from 1 species
AUUGAACGCUGGCGGCAGGCCUAACACAUGCAAGUCGAGCGAGCGGCGGACGGGUGAGUAAUGUAUGGGGACUGCCCGAUAGAGGGGGAUAACUACUGGAAACGGUGGCUAAUACCGCAUACUAUCGGAUAACCCAUAUGGGAUUAGCUAGUAGGUGGGGUAAAGGCUCACCUAGGCGACGAUCUCUAGCUGGUCUGAGAGGAUGAUCAGCCCCACUUGGACUGAGACAAGGCCCAGACCCCUACGGGGGGAGUAGUGGGGAAUAUUGGACAAUGGGCGCAAGCCUGAUGCAGCCCUGCCGCGGGUAUGAAGAAGGCCUUAGGGUUGUAAAGUACUUUCAGGGGGGAGGCGUUACCCGCAGAAGAAGCCCCGGCUAACUCCGUGCCAGCAGCCGCGGUAAUAC